GACGAACGCUGGCGGCGUGCUUAACACAUGCAAGUCGAACGGAAAGGCCCUGCUUUUGUGGGGUGCUCGAGUGGCGAACGGGUGAGUAACACGUGAGUAACCUGCCCUUGACUUUGGGAUAACUUCAGGAAACUGGGGCUAAUACCGGAUAGGAGCUCCUGCUGCAUGGUGGGGGUUGGAAAGUUUCGGCGGUUGGGGAUGGACUCGCGGCUUAGCAGCUUGUUGGUGGGGUAGUGGCUUACCAAGGCUUUGACGGGUAGCCGGCCUGGGAGGGUGACCGGCCACCAUGGUACUGCGGUACGGCCCAGACUCCUACGGGAGGCAGAAGUGGGGAAUAUUGCACAAUGGGCGGAAGCCUGAUGCAGCAACGCCGCGUGCGUGAUGACGGCCUUCGGGUUGUAAACCGCUUUCGCCUGUGACGAAGCUUGAGUGACGGUAAUGGGUAAAGAAGCACCGGCUAACUACGUG
rnacentral:rRNA from 1 species